AGUGAACGCUGGCGGUAGGCCUAACACAUGCAAGUCGAACGGCAGCACAGUAAGAGCUUGCUCUUACGGGUGGCGAGUGGCGGACGGGUGAGGAAUACAUCGGAAUCUACUUUUUCGUGGGGGAUCACGUAGGGAAACUUACGCUAAUACCGCAUACGACCUACGGGUGAAAGCAGGGGAUCUUCGGACCUUGCGCGAUUGAAUGAGCCGAUGUCGGAUUAGCUAGUUGGCGGGGUAAAGGCCCACCAAGGCGACGAUCCGUAGCUGGUCUGAGAGGAUGAUCAGCCACACUGGAACUGAGACACGGUCCAGACUCCUACGGGAGGCAGCAGUGGGGAAUAUUGGACAAUGGGCGCAAGCCUGACCCAGCCAUACCGCGUGUGUGAAGAAGGCCUUCGGGUUGUAAAGCCCUUUUGUUGGGAAAGAAAAGCAGCAGGUUAAUACCCCGCUGUUCUGACGGUACCCAAAGAAUAAGCACCGGCUAACUUCGUG
rnacentral:rRNA from 1 species